UUGCAUAACAGAGAGGAGGGAACUCACAGCCACUUCAGACUUCAGACCUGGCUCUAUCAAACCAAACAAGAAAAGUCCUUUUACCUCACCUACUUUUCCUUGGGUAUAGUCGAGACGCCAUCAGCUGCAGAGCAUCCAACAGAGGAAUCCCAGACUCUAAUCUGUCAUUAGGAUAGUGUCCGCGGUUGUUUACCUGUACCGUAGCAUUGUGCGCCCAUCAAAACCUGUUCUUAUUCCUCCGGUGAGCCCUUCAAUGGAAUCAAGUCCUCUCUGCAACCUCCGUGUUCCGACAGUUCCGGGUGUUGGCUGCAGCGCAUAUUGCAACUGAAACAUGCGAUAAUAGGUGUUGAGCUCUAAGCCCAACACAUUCAGGUUUGAAUCAAUAUGGAACGAGAGCAACAUAAAAAGAACAGCAAAACAAGAAGAGAAGCUGGCAUGAGGAGAGUAGGAGGUCUUGUGAGUGGCAGCUUUCGUUUUUGGCCAGAGAAGUAUGUACUACUAGAAAACAGCCCAGCUCUGGCGCCAACCCCUGAAAUGGAGAGAAUAAGAAAUAGCUGUGCAUCAUGGACUGGACUCUCGGGGGCUUCAUAACAACAGUGAAAGCACCAAAAUCUCCUUGGACUUGGGGUUGAAUGCCAUCUGGACCCGAGGAUUUGUCUUAUAGGAACAACCUAGAUGUAUACAUUGUGAACAGGCAGAUGCCACCAUUACAUCAGCUUGUAAAUGCCAUUUCUUGUGAAUGGGUUUGUGAUGAAUGUGCUUGGAGGGAGCCAGCUGUUGAAAGAUGACU